UGCUUUGUCUUUUGUGUAACUUGUAUUUGUACUUGAAGCAUUUAAUAAAAAUAACAUAAACCUCAACAGUGUGGAAGACUUUAGUAGCUGUAAAUGAAAGGCUAAACUGGUAUUUUUCUGUUUUUUGUCCAAAACCUCACUUGCAGGUUACAGUUAACAUGUCUCAUAAAAAUUUUUAAAAACUUUCCCAAAUAAAUCAGUUUAAAAUUACAUUUGUAUUCCUUUUUUAAUCAUCUUUGAACAUCCGUUAACUACGUCUAAACUAAUAAGCUUCUUUUCUUAAUUCAUUCUUUCAAGUCUUAAUAAACAGACAUUGACUCUGACAUUGAUACGGGGUUUAAAGAGGUAAGAAGCCCUCAUGUGUUGUCAUAAUUACCUCCUAAAGGAGGAUCUGAUAUCAGUGCCUGACCUCUGGAAGUAUUUCAAUGAAAAAAACAAAUCUUUUAAUUGCUAUUUGUAACCUUUCAAUGUCUUUUCUAACCUCUUCUUUGCAUUUCUGUCAUUUAAUCUGAGAAAGCUGCAUUCUCCGUGCUUUAAACACUGAGGCUCAAGUCAAUUCCGCCCUUUUGAAUUCUCCUUUGUGAUUAGCACAGCUCAAGCCUGACUCUGAUUAAGAGUGUAGGUCACGGGACUGAAAGGAAGACUAAACUCUAAACAGAUGAUCAAAGAUUUGGUGAGAGCAAAGGGGAAUAAAGCAGGAGAACAAAAAACAUCAUACAAAGGAUCAAUGACUACCUUCACUCAUCAAUAUGCAAGACACAAUCUUGAAAUUAAACCACCAACUGUGGGGGUAAAAAGACGGAAACGUGACCUGUUGGUGAGGAGGUGAUGAUGUCUGUUUGAUAUCCAAUGGAAAACAUUUGCUGCCCAGCUGGUAGACAACACUGUUUAGCUCUGUUUUACAUCUGAUGGAUAUUCUUUUACUGUCUUUAAAAGUAUAAAAUGUCCUUUUCAUGCAUAUUUUGUACAUAAAAAGGAGUAAAUAAACACUUGAUUUGUGAAUUUUUUCAUCAUGUGUUCUGUUUUAUUGCAAUGUCUGGGGUUUUGGGAAAAGAUCAAAUGAGUAAAUUAAGGCGGUGUCACACAGCCAUUACAUGCAUUUUGGUCUUUCGCGUGAUAAACGUCAAUC
rnacentral:lncRNA from 1 species